rnacentral:lncRNA from 1 species
UGGGUAUGCGCCACUGUGGUAAUGGACUCUGGAACAGAUGGGAUCUGCGGGAUCCUGGUCCAGCUUGGGGUAGGGUGGGGAGGGGAGGUUCUCUGAGGAAGGAAGGCCUUCUCUGAGGAUUUUAGUGUUGCAGCUCUUGUAGGUGAUACUCAAUGAAACAGCUCUCUUAGAGAAUCUUCAGUAAAAUAGCUGCUGUGCAUACACUGUAUACAAGGGCUACAUAUGAACCUUGGAGAGUGGAGAUUUCUGGGUGAAUAUAAAAGGCGAUGGCUGAAGCUUAAGUCCUGUGAAUGCCUCAUUUGUCUGGAGAUGCGUUCCGAGAAUCUCAGAUUUGAAUUUGCCCUUUGAAUCCUUGGUGGCAUAUGGUGGAAUUGUGGCUAGCAGUCUCUCACUAAACCUGGAGCUUGUGGAUUUUGCUAGACUGACUGACAAUCAAGCCCCUGUGUCCUUCUGCCUCUGCCUCCCCAGAGCUGAGGUUACAGGUGCAAGCCAUGAUGCCAGACUCUGUAAGUGACUGCUGAAGUUCAACUCAGAUCUUCAUGUUUGACUGUCAUCUCCCAGGCUACACUCCUUGAACUAAGUCAGGCUACAGAGGCUGCAUUUCCUAGAGACAUCUGGUCAACCUCACAUCCAUGGAGUAGAGAGCAGAGAACACUCCUUAGAGAAAAGGGACCUGAGUUCAAGUGGGUUCCAGUCUGAAUCCCAGACUGAACAGCUUUCGUAUUUUUCAAUUAGUCUGGAGCUUUUCAUACCUGUAAAUUCUGCUUCUGGAAUAGUCUUCCACCUAGUACGUCAGCUUUUCCCAAGGAGAGUGCCUUCCCCACCUGCAUACUUCCUUUUCUGAGAAGUGUCUAAUUUCUAUGUUGCAACAAAUAUGUACUCAGUGAUAAGUGGAUAUUAGCCCAGAAACUUAGGAUACCCAAGAUAUAAGAUACAACUUGCCAAACGC